GACGAACGCUGGCGGCGUGCUUAACACAUGCAAGUCGAACGGUAAGGCCCUUCGGGUACGACGAGUGGCGAACGGGUGAGUAACACGUGGUGAUCUGCCCUGCACUUCGGGAUAAGCCUGGGAAACUGGGUCUAAUACCGGAUAGGACCAAGGACUUCACGGUUUGUGGUGGAAAGCUUUUGCGGUGUGGGAUGGGCCCGCGGCCUAUCAGCUUGUUGGUGGGGUAAUGGCCUACCAAGGCGACGACGGGUAGCCGGCCUGAGAGGGUGUCCGGCCACACUGGGACUGAGAUACGGCCCAGACUCCUACGGGAGGCAGCAGUGGGGAAUAUUGCACAAUGGGCGCAAGCCUGAUGCAGCGACGCCGCGUGAGGGAUGACGGCCU
rnacentral:rRNA from 1 species